CUAGUCUGCACAGACGCAGGGAAAGGCUAUUUCAGAGAGACACAGUUCUGUGCAUCUGCGGCAUCCUCUGUCCACACUCACUACUCAGUCCAAACUCACUCCCCGUCCACACUCACUGCCCAUCCACACUCACUCAGUCCACACUCACUCACUUCCAUCCACACUCACUGCCCAUCCACACUCACUGCCCAUACAACUCACUCCCCCAUUCACACUCCCUCCCCAUCCACACUCACUCCAUCCACACUCACUUCCCAUCCACACUCACUCCCCAUCCACACUCAUUCCCCAUCCACACUCACUCCAUCCACACUCACUCCCCGUCCACACUCACUCCCG
rnacentral:lncRNA from 1 species